AAAAUGACAGACCUGGUGAAAAAUACCCCUUUUUUCAAAUUCUAGGUCCUAGUAUUAGUCUCAUUUAAUACCCCUUUCUCAGUGAUUCUACAGACAAGCCUUGGCAUCAUUUUUGGUAUAGAAGUGCACCCGCCGGCUACGUGUCUUUCAUGGAGAAGUCAAUAUGCCCCCAGUUUUAUAUGGUUUAUUCUGCAGACCACCAUCUUCUAAAAAUCAUUUUGUUUUGUGUGCCACUGGAACAAUAGUUCCCGCUCUUUGCUUUUAGUCUGUAUUUUGUCAUGCGAAGUUCCUGCUCUGGCCAAUCAGAAAACGCACGUGCGCUCCACUCACGAAAUUUUGCACCAGUCAGAGGGAGUUAGCCAAUCAGUGGCCAUACAGUGGGUAGCAAAACUUGUGGCAGGAAUCUAAAAGCCUAAAAAUUCAUCUUUCGGGGGGUUGACCUCUUCUUUUUCAUUAUAUUAAGUUUCUGGCACACAGGGCGAGUAGAUAACCUUCUCAACAUGGUAACUAAAAAUUUGUCACAGCACAUAAUUAGAGAGUAUUCCUCUACUGUGGAGGGAAGAAAUGAGUAAAGAAAGAAUAAAAGAUUAUUCGAAAUUGGAAAGGAACUUAUGGCGGUGACUGAGUUGGAGUUGAAUACGAUCAAACAAUAUCCUUUUAACUUCUGCGAGUUUUCAAAACUCCACAAAACCACGGAAGAGAAGGAAAUGGUUGACGUGCUGCAAGGGCCACACCAUCUCGAGGCUGCGUUGUCUCAACCUUUAUGUAUAUUGGUUCCUUUGGAGAGGCUGACAAAGCUUUGAUGUAAAUCUAAUGAAGAGGUAACUGACCAAGCCAAGCUUACAAAUGCGACCCUCUGUGCCCACCACGGAAUAUGACCAGAAGCUUAUACCUACAUCAAUACUCCAUGAUGAAAAUCCUUACGAAGGGUUCUUAUAGAAGCUAAAACAGAGAGCCCACAUGAAAGGAAUGGCAAAACACUUACGUAAUUGCUGCCGUAGAACUGGCUGUGAAUACAAGACAAAGAAAAUAAGCAAUGCAUUUUAUUUGGGAAUGACUGACGUUUCAAGCAACAGUGGAUAAAACUUUAGUUAGACAAGACAGAGGAAAGAAUCAAGGUAAAAAGACUUUGUUAGAUUUGCUAUAAAACAAUAAUCUUUGCUAGCUUAAAAUUCUGGUCUUUUGGGGCAUAUUUAAACUAUUUCAAAUUGUUUGUCAUUUUACAGGUUGCAUUUCAACUUCUUAUGAUUGUUUGAAAUAUUGAAGCGGUCAAACAUUCAAUAUAUCAUUUCUUAUUUCAAGUAUUUCAAAAUGUAGAGAUAUUCAGCAUAAAUAGAUAAAAAAUAAAUUUCAUUUUGAUCUAAAAAAUUUGUCACAGUCGCAUCUUAUGAGUAAACAGUACAUGAAACAUAUGAAAUAAAGACUAUCUUUUAAGCAAGUAAUAUCUUCAGCUAUCGAUUCCUUUUUGCACCAAACAUUGACUGCAAACAAAGCAUCUGGAAAUCGAAUAAUGACUAAAUACUUUUGAUUCUGAUAUGGUCCAGUGUAUGCUCGGUGUUCAGAGUUGUUAAUGUGGCCUCUGCCUCGAUAGACUCUUCCCCGAAAUGUUUCAGCUAAAGAAAAAGUAAAAAGUCAUAAAAUUCGUCUCGAGCUAUAUUAAAUAGAUACCACAUCUUCCAAAUGCUACAAAGAGCCACUGAAAAAAUACAUGGAAGUCAGCUUCACACAUAUACAAUCAUUGCGGGUCAACUGCUAAUGAAGAGAUACCAUUGAAAAGUAAUUUUGAAAAGUAAAACAUCAAAACAAAUAGAACUUACGUCGUGAUUUAUUUGACUUCGGAGUUGCAUUGUUCACCUGAAAUUUAGCAACACAAAAGUAUAAGAAAUGUAAUUUCCACCUUUUCCAAACUUAAAAAUCUUGGUACUGUCAAACGAUAAACAAACAGUUUACUCCUGAUUAAAGCUGCUUUUAUGGAUAAACCCUUAAACUCACCUGUGGUUAGUUUUGCAAAGAGAGUUUGCACCACAUCAUUCUAGAUGGUUAAUUUGAAGUUAUCUAGCCACUUGAUGGAUAGCCUUUCAACACUCAAGACUUCAAUUCUAAUAUAGCAUAUAUAUGCACUUUCAUUAUAUCAUAUUUGACAAUUAUAUGUCUCUUAGGCAUAGAAACAUCUACCUCUCCCCCUUGGCUUUUUACAGAAUUAUCGAAGAUCUGCUGCUUUUUACUUGAACCUCCCAAUUUCAAAGAUGGAAGCCUUGAAACUAAAUUCUCGAAAUUGUUCAAAACUGUGUCAUAAAUGGCUACAAAAUAUGCACACGCGUUUACCUCAACAAAGAUGGCACAUGAACUUGUCUUGGCAACAGAGAAAUGUAAAUAAAUUUGAAAGAAUUAUACCUCUAUUCUUCUACCAUCAAAUGCUUUGCCAUUUAGUGCUUCUCUAGCCUUUCUGGCACCAGAUGAUCUUUCCAUUGUCACAAAGCCAAAUCCCUUGAUAAAACACAAUAUAAAUUACUAAAGUUUUAUUGCAUGCAAAUUUGUAUCCUGUAUAACUAGAACUUUCACUAAGUUAGGCCAACUUGUAAUAUUGUAUUGGAACUUCCUACCUUAUUUGAACUUAAUGUCCUACCCCUGAUAAGUCAGAAAUUUGCAAAAACAGACAAUUUUCUUAACCCCCACCCCGCCCCAUCCUGA